rnacentral:rRNA from 1 species
GACGAACGCUGACGGCGUGCCUAACACAUGCAAGUCGAACGAGUGGCGGACGGGUGAGUAAUGUCUGGGAAACUGCCUGAUGGAGGGGGAUAACUACUGGAAACGGUAGCUACUACCGCAUACCAUCGGAUGUGCCCAGAUGGGAUUAGCUAGUAGGUGGGGUAACGGCACACCUAGGCGACGAUCCCUAGCUGGUCUGCGAGGAUGACCAGCCACACUGGAACUGAGACAGGGGCCAGACGCCGACGGGAGGCAGCAGUGGGGAAUAUUGCACAAUGGGCGAAAGCCUGAUGCAGCCAUGCCGCGUGUAUGAAGAAGGCCUUCGGGUUGUAAAGUACUUUCAGCGGGGAGGCGUUACCCGCAGAAGAAGCACCGGCUAACUCCGUGCCAGCAGCCGCGGUAAUUC